GGCCUACUAAAUUUUGAACUAUGUUGAAAGCCCAUCACAUUCCCCCCUUUGAUGCUUCUGAUACAAAGUUAUUCCAGAUGCAUCACUAAUCAUAAUUUGCCAACACCUUUCAAGUAACCAUGACUCGGGACAGACCUUAUUCUAACUUAACUCUAUUACCUCUCAACACUCAUCGACCUGAUUAUUAAUAGUCUCUCUCUGGGUUAUGGGUUCAUAUUUCCAGAUGGC